UGUUCAGACACAAAGUUUUCUGAUGAUGAUAUUAUGUCAGUGUGUGUUUGUGUGGGGUUCGUGUGAUGUAAUCUUUGAAAGUUUAUGACCGAACUUUUAUUGGGGAGCGAUAAGAGAUCUCCCGGACUCAGGUUGGAUGGAGCAGAACUGUUAUACUCAAGUCUAUUGCGAAAUUGUCUAAACUGGUAUUAACUAUUCCUGGUAAAUCGCGGAGAAGAGUGGCUUGAACAAAAAAGUCAGACCGUGACUAGAACCACCAGCAGCGUAACAAGGAAAUCUCGGAGCAAAGAGACGUCGAGUGGUUCGUGUUGUCCGGUUUGGACAUCAGCGGUAAAGCGAACGUUGUGUGUACUAUUGCAAAAUAUAUAGCGGAUCUCCACGGUUAGGAUACAGACCACAACGCUUUGGACGUAUCUUUAAAAAAGAGAAAAAUCAGAGACUUUUUGGAUUUGUCUGGGGGACAUUUUAAACAUUUUGUGACAAAAUGGAUUUAAAACAUUUCGGAUAUUGGAUACCUAGUUUGAUAUGUCCACAGAGAUUGUUUAAGACGUUUUCACCUCAUUUUAGGGUUUAUUUUUAAUUAAAGGCUUCUUAAAACAUGUAUGAAAAUGUGUAUAUUAUACAAUGAGUCUUAUAUUGUCUGC